GGCCUGAAAAGUUCCUCUUCCCAAGGAAAUAGACCGAGAACCUUAAGAGAUGAAAGGGUCUAUUAAUACUUCUUCCUGUAUAUUACGGAAUUAUUACCUAAAGUCAAAUGAGCGAUGUAUACUACAGUUUUUCCCAAAGGUGAUGGAGCCUGUCGUCUGCUAGCUGGGCUGCGAAUCGUGUUCACUAGAAAAUCAUACACUGUAUACUGUGCCGGACCACAACUGAAAACGCUUAAUCAGUUCAAAUUUAAGAACCCACCCUAAAGAAUGGGUUAAGAUCCAGUGUUGUGUAGGAUCCAAACCUUUUGAAUUGAGUGUUUUUAGGCAUGCAGUGAGCGUUGCCCAGUCACAGGAGCAGUCACAGUUACGCUCGGGUUCAAGCCACCAACAUCUCGGCUUACUGGCCACCAUGCAGACAUUCUAGUUAAGUACUCCAAGGAGUCACAGGCCUGUGUAUUGUUUGGUAGUUAGUCGCGCUGUCGGUCCACAUAUCUUAAGGUAAAUAUCACGUAUAACCUGGCCUUGGUAUGCACAUGCUGACACCAAGCCCAUACCAAGAGUCAGGAGGGCUUAGCGACGAAGGUGAAAAGGAAGGAUGUUGCGUGCUGAGGGACAGUAGCAUUUUUGGAAUGGAGGUCUGCAGGAGAGACGAAAGGAAGGCAAGGUCCACCCCGUGUCUUUCCUUUUACCUUCGAGGAAAAAAAUAUACUUAUUUUCCAAAUUUAGCGUGGCAAAUAGUUUUGUUUCAGUGAAAACAAUGAGAAAAUAUUUUCCUAUUUGGAAAGUCACAUAUUAUAGUUGCAGCGAAUAUGUUCGUGUUUCUUACAAUAGCAUGUACCUUCAAUGCACAGAGGAAGCAACCAGGCAGGAACCUUCGUCGUUCACCACCUUCCUUUUUCUACGGCUUUCUUUUCUUUUCACGGAUUUCAAAGUAUGGCAUUCAGGCCUAUCCUCCUUGGUGUAGAGCACUUAGUAGAGCUGAAGCUGAUGGAUGAGCUGCCCCAACUCUGCUGUUUCCAGACUCGCAGGGACCUGUUUCUGGAGGACACAGAGGGAGAGUUUAUUGAUCAAUAUAGGCUCUCAAAAGAAGUGACUCUUGAUUUACUUGCCAAAAUUGAACACCUACUACCAACAUCUGAGACUAACAGAGGUGUGCUUCGUUACCUGCUGGUGCUCUCAGCCUACACCAACUUGGGCAAGAUACUCCAUAUGAACCACAAGGCCAGUCCAGGGAACAUCACUUGCCUGCAUGCACUGAGAACACUUUUGAUGGUGUGGGUGAUUUGGUGCCACCAGCAGACCAUACCUUAUUUGAAUAUAGCUAAUAUACUACUGUUCUUUGUGGUCCAAGCACAUGGAGUCAGCUCAUCCAUCUCUCUCUCUCUUGCACUAUGUCCUUUACUCUCAAGUAGAAGCUAAUCAAAGCUAAUCAGAGAUGUUGAGAGAGAGAGAGAGAGAGAGAGAGAGAGACGUGGCUACGACUUAGGCGGAAUUUACUAUACUCUGUGUAUAUGCCUAAUGCCUACGAUUUAGUGGACUGGUUCCUGUCCCAACCAGUGUGGCAACCCAUGAGUCACCUCACCUGCACCACUUAUCUGCUGGCACUGCUCCUGCAGAGCCAGGGCAGGGCCUACUACUUCAUCCACCUCAACACGCCUACGCAGAGGAGGAAAUGUGCAUGUGAUAUGGUACCUCUCAACUCAAGUUAUGUCAUCUCCUCCCUCCUAGGUGACAACCAAUGCAUGGUACUUCAAACAUACACUGCAGCACUCUAAGGGCUUGAGCUAAGAUGAGUGGAAGGUGAUGAGGAUCACUUGCUUUCUCCACACCAGCUACCCCAAGAAAACUUCCAAUCUUUAAAAAUCUUUAAAAAUCUUUAAAAAAAAUAAAUCUUUAAAAAUAAAGAAAACUAAUCACUUUUUUCCCCUAAGGUUUUCCAAAGAAAGAAAAAGAGAGAGAGAGAGAGAGAGAGAGAGAGAGAGAGAGAGAGAGAGAGAGAGAGAGAGAGAGAGAGAGAGAGAGAGAGAGAGAGAGAGAGAGAGAGAGAGACGAAUGUUUAGAA